UGGGGAAUAUUGCACAAUGGGCGAAAGCCUGAUGCAGCAACGCCGCGUGAGUGAUGAAGGUCUUCGGAUUGUAAAGCUCUGUCUUUUGGGACGAUAAUGACGGUACCAAAGGAGGAAGCCACGGCUAACUACGUGCCAGCAGCCGCGGUAAUACGUAGGUGGCGAGCGUUGUCCGGAUUUACUGGGCGUAAAGGGUGCGUAGGCGGAUGUUUAAGUGAGAUGUGAAAUACCCGGGCUUAACUUGGGUGCUGCAUUUCAAACUGGAUAUCUAGAGUGCAGGAGAGGAGAAUGGAAUUCCUAGUGUAGCGGUGAAAUGCGUAGAGAUUAGGAAGAACACCAGUGGCGAAGGCUGAUUCUCUGGACUGUAACUGACGCUGAGGCACGAAAGCGUGGGUAGCAAACAGGAUUAGAUACCCUGGUAGUCCACGCCGUAAACGAUGAGUACUAGGUGUAGGAGGUAUCGACCCCUUCUGUGCCGCAGUAAACACAUUAAGUACUCCGCCUGGGAAGUACGAUCGCAAGAUUAAAACUCUAAAGUGAAUUGAC
rnacentral:rRNA from 1 species